GACGAACGCUGGCGGCGUGCUUAACACAUGCAAGUCGAACGGAAAGGCCCUGCUUUUGUGGGGUACUCGAGUGGCGAACGGGUGAGUAACACGUGAGUAACCUGCCCUUGACUUUGGGAUAACUUCAGGAAACUGGGGCUAAUACCGGAUAGGAGCUCCUGCUGCAUGGUGGGGGUUGGAAAGUUUCGGCGGUUGGGGAUGGACUCGCGGCUUAUCAGCUUGUUGGUGGGGUAGUGGCUUACCAAGGCUUUGACGGGUAGCCGGCCUGAGAGGGUGACCGGCGACAUUGGGACUGAGAUACGGCCCAGACUCCUACGGGAGGCAGCAGUGGGGAAUAUUGCGCAAUGGGCGGAAGCCUGAUGCAGCAACGCCGCGUGCGGGAUGACGGCCUUCGGGUUGUAAACCGCUUUCGCCUGUGACGAAGCGGGAGUGACGGUAAUGGGUAAAGAAGCACCGGCUAACUACGUG
rnacentral:rRNA from 1 species